GGAUUCUGCUAAUUCCUCUUUUAUCAGAGUCACUGUGGUUACAGCUGCUACAACAUACAGUGAUAUGAGAGGAGGAACAGGCUGAGGGAGGAGCAACACUGUCAAAGAGCAGGACAGACAACAACUCCCACUGUCAGAUGCAUUCAAUAUCUAAAGCAUACAUAACACAGAUACUGUGUGUAAGAUGCUCUCACUGCUUUACUGUGGAAUGUUUCCUUUGGUUCUCAUCAUACUAAAAGGUGUCAGCUGUGAACAACUGACUCCAGUCAAGGAUGAAGAGUUCAGUUCAGAAGGCAGCUCUGUUACUCUGUCCUACACAUACUCCAAAAAAGCUGCUACUGAUUAUUACUUCUGGUAUCGACAACAUCCAGGAAAACCACCACAGUUCCUCAUCUCUCACUCUGCUUCAGGAGCAGAAGGAACUGAUUCAAUCAAAGGACUGAAGAUUGAAGUGGAGCAAAACCAAAUCAACAUGACCAUCACCUCUGCUGCAGUGACAGACUCUGCUGUGUACUAUUGUGCUGUGAAGCCCACAGUGACAGGAAACAGCACAACUCUGUACAAAAACCUUUGGAGCAAAGACAACAGAAUACUCCACAACAUCCACUAGAGGGAGUCACACAUUGUUCAACCUCAAUG